AAUUCGCCCUUAGAGUUUGAUCCUGGCUCAGGAUGAACGCUGGGCGGCGUGCUUAACACAUGCAAGUCGAGCGAGAAAAGUUCUUCGGAGCUUUUCUAACGGCGGACGGGUGAGUAACACGUGGGCAACCUGCCUCAUAGAGGGGAAUAGCCUUUCGAAAGGAAGAUUAAUACCGCAUAAGAUUGUAGUACCGCAUGGUGCAGCAAUUAAAGGAGUAAUCCGCUAUGAGAUGGACCCGCGUCGCAUUAGCUAGUUGGUGAGGUAACGGCUCACCAAGGCGACGAUGCGUAGCCGACCUGAGAGGGUGAUCGGCCACAUUGGGACUGAGACACGGCCCAGACUCCUACGGGAGGCAGCAGUGGGGAAUAUUGCACAAUGGGGGAAACCCUGAUGCAGCAACGCCGCGUGAGUGAUGACGGUCUUCGGAUUGUAAAGCUCUGUCUUUGGGGACGAUAAUGACGGUACCCAAGGAGGAAGCCACGGCUAACUACGUGCCAGCAGCCGCGGUAAUACGUAGGUGGCAAGCGUUGUCCGGAUUUACUGGGCGUAAAGGGAGCGUAGGUGGAUAUUUAAGUGGGAUGUGAAAUACUCGGGCUUAACCUGGGUGCUGCAUUCCAAACUGGAUAUCUAGAGUGCAGGAGAGGAAAGGAGAAUUCCUAGUGUAGCGGUGAAAUGCGUAGAGAUUAGGAAGAAUACCAGUGGCGAAGGCGCCUUUCUGGACUGUAACUGACACUGAGGCUCGAAAGCGUGGGGAGCAAACAGGAUUAGAUACCCUGGUAGUCCACGCCGUAAACGAUGUCGACUUGGAGGUUGUGCCCUUGAGGCGUGGCUUCCGGAGCUAACGCGUUAAGUCGACCGCCUGGGGAGUACGGCCGCAAGGUUAAAACUCAAAUGAAUUGACGGGGGCCCGCACAAGCGGUGGAGCAUGUGGUUUAAUUCGAUGCAACGCGAAGAACCUUACCUGGUCUUGACAUCCACGGAAGUUUUCAGAGAUGAGAAUGUGCCUUCGGGAACCGUGAGACAGGUGCUGCAUGGCUGUCGUCAGCUCGUGUUGUGAAAUGUUGGGUUAAGUCCCGCAACGAGCGCAACCCUUAUCCUUUGUUGCCAGCGGUCCGGCCGGGAACUCAAAGGAGACUGCCAGUGAUAAACUGGAGGAAGGUGGGGAUGACGUCAAGUCAUCAUGGCCCUUACGACCAGGGCUACACACGUGCUACAAUGGCGCAUACAAAGAGAAGCGACCUCGCGAGAGCAAGCGGACCUCAUAAAGUGCGUCGUAGUCCGGAUUGGAGUCUGCAACUCGACUCCAUGAAGUCGGAAUCGCUAGUAAUCGUGGAUCAGAAUGCCACGGUGAAUACGUUCCCGGGCCUUGCACACACCGCCCGUCA
rnacentral:rRNA from 1 species